AGUUUAAAAUCUAAGUUUACCUUAAAAGUCGAUCUCUCUCAAUUUUAGUGAAGGUCUUGAAGACCAAAAUCCGAGAUGAGACGGAAGAGAAAAAUGAUGAGGAAUAAAAGAACUUA